GUGAGUCAGUCCGCGAUCGGCAGUUCCUUCUAGCCGCUCUUGUUUACAAGUAUCUGGCCUGCGAAUGGCACUGGAAGAAUUCACGGGGUACUUUAAACUUCUCGUGGACUUUGAGUGCCAUCCUCAAAGUCAGAAAUAUCGAGCGAUUAAGUCCAGCACCAACAUCGCACCAUAGUGCAAAUCAUUAUUUGACGUCAACAAUCGGUAGUUUCUAGGAAAUUGUUAGUGUUAUACGUGGUGUUGUAAGUUUCAUUUUCCUAAUUAACCCUGAGAAAAUCAAGUGCGUGUUUACAUACAAUUCAACCAGUUAGGUGAGCUAAUUGGUAGAUCUUGGCAAUAAUAGCAAAAGUAAGAUGCAGCCGUUCGUUCCGCUUGGGUCGGCGAACGUCCGGGAAACGCUGGUCGAAGUUGUCAGUCCAUAACGUGGCCCCCUCAACCGUUUCGCUCUGAUGCUUCGCCCGCAUAGCAGACUCAUUAUCAUCGAACAGGCACGAGAAAGCACGCCACUGUCUAUGCCGGAAAACAUGCUCAAAUAACGUGGAUCAUCAUGGUACUCAGAAGAUGAACAUUCCCAUAGUUUUUUUUUGUUCCAAUUGUAUUCCGGUUUUUUUUCUUUCUUUAUAUUACAUGGUUGGUGUGAUA